UUGAAAGCCACGUUGCUGUGACUAGGGAGAAGUCUGAGGGCCCAGGGUCCUGCUGUUUCAGAGAGAAGCCACAUUCAGGCCUUGUUCUCAUGGUGGAGACUUGUCUCUGUGCAGGAAGGUGUUCUGAGCAGCUAUCUUGUUGGGGUUCCAUUAGUCAAUUUCCUGGUAUAAUUGCCAACAGAGUGAUAACCAUAUUCUCCCUCAUAGCCAAGAACUGGCCUUGGGAAUAGGAGACAAGUACUUUAUGAAACUGUGCUUUCUCCAGAGCAGUUCUGUCUGAUUCACCUCUUCAUCUUUGGCACCUAAAUGAAUGUCCACCAAACCAGCCAGUCAAUGAUCAGCUGAGCCAUUUCAGGAGACUUGUAGUUUGUGAUUGGACAUGUUGGAGGUACAAGAGCUUACAAAAGUAGCCCUGUGACUUUGUUGCCUCUGAAUUAGUUUUUAUUAAAAAUUUUAAAAAUCAAUUAUUUCUUUAAUUAUUUUUUGUCUUUCGAGAGAGGGUCUCAUUCUGCAGCCCUGGCUAGGAAGAAACUCAUUAUUCUAGGCUGGCCUCAGAUUCAGGAUAGCACUCCUGCAUCUUCCUACUGAGAUUGUAGGUGUGGAUACCACCAAAAUAUUUAAAAAGAUUUACUUUUAGUAAUGUGUAUGUGUGUGUUUCCGGGUCAGUGUGUGACAUAUGUGUGCCGUUGUGCAAGAGGCCAGAAGACGGCAUCUGAUCCCCUGGAGCUGGAGUUGUAGGCAGUCAUGAGCCAACUGACUUGGGCUCUGCGAACUGAACUCUGGUGCUCUGGGAGAGCAACAAUGCUGUUAGCCAUUAAGCUACUCUUUCAACCUUAGCAAAACAAUUUUUUCAGAUCAUAAAAUGUUGAUGUAUUCCUGUUGAUUCUCAAGGAACCUUGGCUGAAAAAUAUAGCAGAUAAAUGAGUCCCCAAAUAGGAAAAAAAAAAUCAAAGUUCCUUCAGGAGAAUUUAUUGUGUUAUGUUUUUCUUUCCCUAAGGAGUGCACAGUGUUUUCUCAAAAGGUAAAGUACUAGUUGGGUGGGAAAAGACAGAGUGCGGAGAUGGGAUGAGGCUCGGCAUGGACUCUCAUGAUGUGAGUGCGGGGCUUGGUGUGGGCAACCACAGGUGCACAAAAGGCUGGAACAGGUAAGUGGUGAGGCACUCCCCUUUCUCUUUAGAGGAUAAACUGAGACGUGUAGAAGAAUAGGAGAAGAAGAAUCGAGCAGAGGCAACAGGACCAGUCAGGGACGAGCUGAGCAACAACCUGAGUGAGAUGUGUAGAGCCCCGCAGAGCCAGAGUCAGGGAGCAGAUGGGAGUCUGCCCAGAGAUAAUGGUUUGUAUACUUGGCUGAGUUCAUAAAUCGCCUGAGGUUGGGGUGAAGAGUAGUCUAGGGAGAGGCGUCCGGGGCUCGAGGUCUUCUUGCUGCAAGGGACAGCAUUCUUUCAAGUGGUGUCUUAAAAACGCAUGCAAGUGUUUAUCGUUUGCAUGACGGUGCAUUAACAUAUGCAUUUCUGUGAAAAUACUGUGCAAAACCAGGUAAGAGAUUUAACUUUCCAAAGCCUCAGAGAAAAUUGGUGCUUGACUGGGGAGCAGUGAGCAGCAGUUCUGUGUGAUUUCUGAUGUUCCCAGCAAGGCUGCUUUUUCCUCUGUUAAUGUCAAAUGGGUCUCUUGACAGCCCCGUCCAAGUCAGCCAGCAGGGGUAUUGGGCGUCUCUGCUUAGGUUUAAGAUGCCCUUCCGCUUCCCAUCCAUCCUCACAGCCUGGCUGAACUAACCCACCCCUCAGCUAAGCUGACCCUCCUCUCAUGUCAGGGCUGACUCUGUUCUUAUUCCACCCCCACCUCGCAGUUUUCCUGGUUUAUUUGUUUUAAGGCAAAUAAGAAAUUUAGCUCCAGGUGAAAUUAAGGAUGGUAGCUGGUAAACAGACAAACACACGUGGCUGCUCUCAUGGUGCCCGAGGCUGAGUAUUUUGUUUCUCAAACAGAGUAUCAGUCCCAAGUGGUCGGUCCUAUGCCACUGUCACAGAGCUCAGCUCAGUAAGAAAACACAUAGCCAAAUAAAAGGAUCAGACAAAAAGCCCCUCAUAAGGUGUUUAUGACUUUUAAUCCAUUGUCUCUUCUCAUUAAAUGAGAAAUUUUGUUUCUAUUGUAAAUCAUAUUUAAAUAUGAGAAACUCAAUAGCUUCUGCAUAUGUCUUUUCCUGUGAUGGGAUAAGGGGAAGGUCCUAUCAGGGUCAUCCCGUGCCUUGGUGAUUGCGCUUUCCUCAUUCAGGCCACCUGAGGUCAGUUCACAGCUCCUAAAGUCAAAAGGUGGGAAAGUCGAGGGAGGUGUGGUAGGGAAUUGCUUUCUAAGAUCAUAACCAUAGAGAUGUGUUUUCCUGGAACCUCCUCUUCUUCCCCCCCUAGGCAGAUAAGGGGACUCCACUCUGUCGCACUUCACUGGUAGAGUUUGCUGCUCUGUGAUCUCCAGGAAUACAAAUCCCGUGAGCAAUGUCCAUACUCCAGCAUCCUACUUAAGAGUGUGCAGAGAGGACUGAAAAUGUACCAGGAAUAGGUAGAAGGAGGCAAAGACCAUGUGAUUCUUUUCCUGGCUACUGAGGCUCUAUAUGGCUAUGAAAACAGAUCUCACUUUGUUUUUGGAAGGGAAAAAGGACUGAGGAAAUUCCUGCUGUAAGCCAGCCUUGGACCCUGUGGGUUUGGAUGCUGCAGGGUCAAAAGAGAAUUCCUGCCUUCGAGAAAAUUUCCUUCAUCUGGAGGGGGUCAAACAACAAAGUCAAUAAAUACCAAGUGUGGGAACAGCAGCUGCCUCAUGAUUCUGUCACCGUGGAUGGAGUGGCUCCUUUAUGCUUCCCAUCUCAUCCCCAUCAUCGUGGACUUCAACAUUCUGAAACUGUGAGCUGAAACCAACAUUCCUGGGGCUCAGCAGGAUGGCUCAGUGGGUAAACAUGCCUGCCUUACAAGCCUGGCAACCUCAGUUCAAUCUUUGGAACAGCAGCAAGGAAUGCGAUGAGAGCUAAGGCCUCCUGUCUCCUGGGUGAAACUCCUGAGUUCUGAGGCGGUUAUCCUUGGAAUAAGGAGAAAGGGACCUAAAAGUGUGCUCCUCUGCAGAGACCCUUGUUCCUCUUCCCUAACAUACACCGCUGUUAUUCGCUAUCCUACUGAAACCACCACAUCUGACUUGGAUCCAGUUGAUGUGAGUCAUCACAGACUUCCAGGAUCCUUCUGCCAUCCUUCAGUCUUGGAACUAAUCCUCAUAAAGGUCCCUGUAGGGACCAGUGAGCCACCCUUAAGCCAUGUCUCUCCCUUUCUAUCUACCCCUGCAUUACCUUUCCCCAGAGCACUUGCUUCAUGCAGACUGAGACUUUCCUACUGUGCUCGCAUCUGUACCCUCAAGACAGAGGAUGGUGACAGACACUGUUUGAUAAAUACUUGUUCAAAGUUUAGGCACUGUUCACUGGGAAGACAAACAUUUGCUUGGAGUGGGUCCUUAUAUGGGAAACAGAAUGCAAGACUCCAAAAGUCACUAUGGACAAGAAGGUGAAGGCUAUCCCUUUGAGCUUCUUUUGAUGCCACAUCCUAUGAAGUCUUAUUUCAACAACUGUUAAAUGACAAGGUCCACAUGAUAAAUGACAGGGCUCAUAGUAAUGCUUUGCAAUAUUUGGCCUUUGCCCUUAGGAUUUUCAUCUAUGUUUCUUUGUUGUUGUUGUGUUUUAUUUUGUUUUUAGACUAUAUGUUAAAUUUUGCUUUGUUUUGGGGAUGUCACAACAGCAAAGGGUGGAAACAAGGGAAUAGGGAG